rnacentral:rRNA from 1 species
UACGGAGGGUGCGAGCGUUGUCCGGAAUCAUUGGGCGUAAAGGGCGCGUAGGUGGCCUGCUAAGCGUGCGGUGAAAGUCGGGGGCUCAACCCCCGAUCGGCCGUGCGAACUGGGAGGCUUGAGCACUGUAGAGGCAGGCGGAAUUCCGGGUGUAGCGGUGGAAUGCGUAGAGAUCCGGAAGAACACCGGUGGCGAAGGCGGCCUGCUGGGCAGUUUUGCUGACACUGAGGCGCGACAGCGUGGGGAGCAAACAGGAUUGAGA